GAUGAAUGCUGGCGGCGUGCCUAACACAUGCAAGUCGAGCGGCAGCGCGGGGUGCUUGCACCCUGUCGGCUAGCGGCGAACGGCUGAGUAACGCGUAGGAAUUUGCCCCAAAGUGAGGAAUAACUGCCCGAAAGGGUAGCUAAUGCCGCAUAUGGUCUUCGGAUUACAGGAUUUAUCCGCUUUAGGCGAAGCCUGCGUUGGAUUAGGUUGUUGGUAGGGUAAUGGCCUACCAAGCCGACGAUCCAUAGCUGGUCUGAGAGGAUGAUCAGCCAGACUGGAACGGAGACACGGUCCGGACUCCUACGGGAGGCAGCAGUGAGUAAUCUUCCACAGUGGGCGAAAGCCUGAUGGAGCAACGACGCGUGAAGGAUGAAGGCAUUCGGGUUGUAAUCUUCUUUUAUGAGUGAAGAAUAUGACGGUAACUAAUGAAAAAGCACCGGCUAACUACGUG
rnacentral:rRNA from 1 species